AGUGUCUGUGGAUGUCAGAAGAGGACCUCGGACCACUGGGGACUGGAGUUAUAGACAGUUUGCUGAAGAGGAAAUGAGGGAGAAGGAAGAGAAGAAUGAGAGGGGAAGAGGAAGGAGAAAAACAAAAGGUUUGACACACAGAGCCAAGUGGCUGUGGACCGGAACCUCUGGCACCCUUUGAAGCUCAGCAGAAAAAAUUUCACUCAGAAUGGUGUCAGAAAGAUGGCGGUGUAUCAACUAGGGAUGCCUCUACGUCCUUCAGUCCUUUACUGGACACCUAACUUGACAGCAGCAACAAUGGGCUCAGCACCAACAGCUGCUGUUUCAUCCAGAAACCAGCUGCCAGGUCCCCACAACUCACUCGGUUUUUCCACAAAAGAAGUGUGCAGGCCGAGCUGGAGAGAUGGCUCAGAGGUUAAGAGCACCAACUGCCCUUCCAGAGGUCCUGAGUUCAAUUCCCAGCAACCACAUGGUGGCUCACAACCAUCCGUUAUGAG
rnacentral:lncRNA from 1 species